UGGGGAAUAUUGCACAAUGGGGGAAACCCUGAUGCAGCGACGCCGCGUGAACGAAGAAGGUAUUCGUAUCGUAAAGUUCUGUCCUAUGGGAAGAUAAUGACAGUACCAUAGAAGAAAGCUCCGGCUAAAUACGUGCCAGCAGCCGCGGUAAUACGUAUGGAGCGAGCGUUGUCCGGAAUUAUUGGGCGUAAAGGGUACGCAGGCGGCUUAAUAAGUCGAAUGUUAAAGAUCGGGGCUCAACCCCGCAAAGCAUUGGAAACUGAUAAACUUGAGUGGUGGAGAGGAAAGUGGAAUUCCUAGUGUAGUGGUGAAAUACGUAGAUAUUAGGAGGGAUACCAGUAGCGAAGGCGACUUUCUGGACACAAACUGACGCUGGGGUACGAGAGCGUGGGGAGCAAACAGG
rnacentral:rRNA from 1 species